rnacentral:rRNA from 1 species
GAUGAACGCUGGCGGCGUGCCUAAUACAUGCAAGUCGAGCGAACAGAUGAGGAGCUUGCUCCUCUGACGUUAGCGGUGGACGGGUGAGUAACACGUGGAUAACCUACCUAUAAGACUGGGAUAACUUCGGGAAACCGGAGCUAAUACCGGAUAAUAUAUUGAACCGCAUGGUUCAAUAGUGAAAGACGGUUUUGCUGUCACUUAUAGAUGGAUCCGCGCCGCAUUAGCUAGUUGGUAAGGUAACGGCUUACCAAGGCAACGAUGCGUAGCCGACCUGAGAGGGUGAUCGGCCACACUGGAACUGAGACACGGUCCAGACUCCUACGGGAGGCAGCAGUAGGGAAUCUUCCGCAAUGGGCGAAAGCCUGACGGAGCAACGCCGCGUGAGUGAUGAAGGUCUGCGGAUCGUAAAACUCUGUUAUUAGGGAAGAACAAAUGUGUAAGUAACUAUGCACGUCUUGACGGUACCUAAUCAGAAAGCCACGGCUAACUACGU